CUUGCUCAGAGGAUGGUUUUUCACUUGGCACUGCUGUGCCCGGGACCAGGCUCCAAAAGCAAGCACAAGGGAACUCGUUAAGUACAACAGGAUGUGAUUAGUCCCACAUGGGGAGCUCAUGUGUUAUAUCAAAAGAAACAACAACCAGCUGGUAGAACUACUUACAUCAAGGAAAGGAAUGGUGAGGAGGAGAGCUGAGGGAGAGCAGUGACCACUAGGAGAGCGAGUACUGGGUAUGAGACAAGAAGCUUUUGGAUCUACGUGGGCAUGACUGCACCCCGGUCAAGGGGACAACGUGACACACAAAGGAGGUGACCCUGCAGCGUGACAGAUCUGAAUGCACGGAGUACAGAUGGAGCAUCUCCGAGGGAUGUGGUCUGAGGAAUCACAAGUGAAAUUGAUGAGAACUUGAUGCAACACCAAGCACUUUUAUCAGAAUUUCAAUGGAAAUUCCAAGCAAAGCAGGUUGGAUGACAAGCACAUGAACACCGACCUUGGGAAGAGCAACUGUGAGUGUGGGGAAGCUUUUAACACAGAAAAGAACUGUGGAAAAAUGAAGAUAGGUAGCAAAAACUGGAUUCAUGGUGGCCUUCCCAUUGAUAGGAAUUUCUCUGCAUGAGGAUGCCCUAGGAUGCAUGCUGGCAGCUCAGUGCAACACACGGCAGGGGUGUGCACCGCAGGACAUUUCCCCAUGCAAGUCUGUUCUGGAAGGGCAAUAUUUCACCUGAGAGAACAGGCUAAGAGAACAUGCACUUUGCAAGUGCAAAAAGAAGCGUAAGACCCUCUAAAUGUCUGGCCCCAGGCAAUCUGUUUCCUUUCACAGGACCGCUCUUGAAGCAGAUCUGCAAGGACUUAUCGCUUCCAUCUGCGCCACAGAGACAAGGGCACCGUUCUCACCCCAGUUCCACACAGACAUCCCAGAAUUGCCGACAGCCGCUGCGGCCCCAUAGCAAAAUAUUCCUGCAUGUCUCAGCAAGCUUUCCAAGCUGUGCACGCGGGGACGUGCAGCCACACACACGCCCUGUGCAGGUGGCUCCUGGGAACCCAACUGUGAGCUCUCCUUGUUGGGAAAUGGAGAACCUUCCUCCCUUUCAGCAGCUCCUCUACCAAAUUGCACCCCCAAAAAUACAGCUGGGAGAUACACGCAUAUUCAGUUCUGGGGCCUCCAACGCAAGAAGGUUAUGGAGCUGUUGGAGAGGGCUCAGAGGAGGGCUACAAAGAUGAUCAGAGGGCUGGAGCACCUUCCCUAUGGGGACAGGCUAAGAGAACCGGGGCUCUUCAGCCUGGAGAAGAGAAGGCUCCAAGGGGACCUUAUAGCGGCCUUCCAGGACCUGAAGAGGGUCUACAGGAAAGAUGGGGAGGGACUUUUUAUAAGGGCAGGUAGUGACAGGAUGAGGGGAAACAGUUUUAAACUGGAAGUGGGUAGAUUGAGGCUGGAUAUCAGGAUGAAAUUCUUUACUGUGAGGGUGGUGAGACACAGGAACAGGUUGCCCAGUGAAGCUGUGGAUGACCCCUCCCCAGAGGUGUUCAAGCCCAGGUUGGAUGGGGCUGUGAGCAACCUAGUCUAGAGGGAGGUGUUCCUGCUUAUAGCAGGAGAGUUGGAACUAGAUGAUCUUAAAUGUCUCUUUCAACCCAAACUGUUCUAUGAUUCUCUCCAGAUGCAUGUUGGUGGUAGGAUAUAAGUGCUGCACAGCCUCUUCCAGGAGCACCUGGAGAUGCUUCCGGAAGACUCUGCCUGGACACAGUGUGCUGCUUGACCACAUCUGCCUGUUGUAAAACAAAGUACCUAAAGCAAGCCAAAUUCAUGGAAGGCGAAGCACUUAUUUAGUGCAAUUUAGCAGUCACCUGUGCACCUGGGAAAUCUGCUUGGUGCUAAAGGUUUGCCUGAGCCCUGGUUCUGUGAGGAUAAAUGAGGACGUGUGUUGGGCAAGAGCAGCAGGAGGCAGCCAGAUCUGCACUGAGCUAACCUCAUCCCACCCAGUACGCAAGAAAUGUAUCUGUGAAGAACUACUCGUACAACUGUGUUCAUCAGCAAAGGGGAGCCAGGUGCACGCUGCCUGCCGGUACCCCACGUCGCUCCCGCCUCACCCAAACGAAUGAUGCAGCACUUUAAUUAGGAGGGAGCGCCGCGUCCAUAUUGCACCGGCGAAGGAGAGCGGCGGAGCCUGGCAAACAUGGUGCCCGGCCGCGGGCGCGGAAGCUGCGCCCCUGUCCGCGGAGAGCG
ensembl:lncRNA